CUUUCUGGUACUGGGCUGAGUCCUGCCUUCUGCUCCCUGGAUGAAAAUAGAUAACAGCAGGUCCAGCUCCUUGACCGGGAUCUGCUUGGAAGAAAGAGGGAAGUGCCAAGUGUGGGAAUUUAAGCUCACGCUUUCUUAUUCUCGCUAGAAAGUGGCAGGUCACUUGCAGUGCUCGGGCAGCCCAAGGUGGCUGGGGACAGGAUUGGAGGAGACCCUAACCAGAACGGAGGCUUUGUGGGGACCACAGGGGUUUCGACCAGAGGACUUCGUGGAGCUGAGAGGCCACAAACUUGGCCUGAGCUAAAGCCUCCCCUCAGCGAAGUGAAGCUUGCAGUCCUCUGCAGAGCUCACUGCUUCACUGAACCUUGGAGAUGCCCAGCUUCUGGAUCAGGCUACAGUAGUUAGACUAUUUUUCCUCUAUGGUAGGGGUUCAGGCGAUCUGUGUGGAACAUAGUAAGACCUGGGACACUUGAGGCCAGCCACUCCUGAAGGGCUACAGUCCGGGUGGGAGCUGGAGGGGGAAACCACGUCAGCACAGUAGUGAUUCUUGAAAGGAGGUGUGCCGCAGUUGGGGACAGAUCUUAUGUUUCCAUGGGAACGACCUCCAAGGCCCCUGUACACCCAGCCUACCUGUGCAAACUUACAUGCUGCGUAUCUAGUUAUCUGUAUGAAGAAGAAAGAUAAAGGCCUAUCUUACACUAAGUCCAGAUUGGAAAGUCGUCGUGGAAGGCCUCUCAGGAAAAUUCCACAACAGGAUGGCCCAGGCAGGUAUACUUCCUGGAUUUUCUGUAGCCGGUCCCCCGAGCUGUAGUCUAGUAGUUGCUGCUGCGGGGAGAGAUUAAAGUGACAGCAGGAAGACAGUCUCUGGGUUCUCCUGUAUAGAUUCUCUCAUUGUUCUGACAAAAUAAACUUGAGGAAGGGU
rnacentral:lncRNA from 1 species